UUUUUUUUUUUUUUUUUUUUUAAGAUUUUGAGUGAGCUAGAGCACAAGCAGGGGAGAGGAAAAAACAGACUCCAGCCUGCCCCUGUUUGCCCCACAGCAGGGAGUCAGAUGUGGGGCUCCGUUACAGCACCCCAGGAUGACAGGCAGAUGCUUUCAAUAAGUGCUUUUCUGGCUUCUACGUCUUAUUGAAGUUAAGCUGCCAAUUCUGAUUACCCUUGAUUUCUGGGUAGCCUGCUUACUGGGAGGAGCUAGAAAUAAACAGUAUCUGUUUUAGGAGGAUGGCAAGUUAAACUUUGAGACCAAGUAGACCACCUGUUAAACCUUUUCUCCACAUUGGCACAGAGGAGAAUGCAAGUACGCUGGGCUUCAUGCUUUCACAGGUGGUUUUGGCAGCAACUGAACUGGGGGUAGGGUCAGUUUUUCUUCUCCACCUCCACGACUAAAGUUUUUAUUUAAAUCUAUUUUUUAAAUUUAAAGGGAGUUGACCUCCCAGCUGAAGUGAUGGUGCUAACCCAGACAGUUCUCAGAGGGCUGAUCUGGCUUUGGGUGCCCCACUCCCAGGAGGGAAGGAGUCCAUCUCCAUCUUCUAAUUCCUCCUCCCCCAUCUGUUUGUCUGAAUUGAGUGACCCCAAGUAAGUCCCAGGUCUGGUGGUUCUCUUUCCUCCACCCCUGGGAGCUCACGUACUCCAGGAUGCUGCCUCCAUUAUCUAGGCCAUCUGCUAAUUCCUGCAGCCCCCACCCGCAAGUACCAGAGUCAGUGCCAUCCUGUUUUUUGAGCCCAGUGCAUUCACCGGUUGUCCGCCCCUAACCUGUGUAAGGUCAAAGGGUCUCACCCAGCGACCGCGACCAGGCUGCGGAGGAGCAGUUGGCCCUGGAGUUCUCACGCAGCAGCAAAGCACCGCCCGGGCUUGGCCCGUUGCCAAGUAGGAUGUCCCAAGUCUGUGGUCUCGUCUGCGCGGCAUUUUAAACCCACGGACGGUGACGGGCCACCGCUCUGGGCUCCCCGCUCAAAAUGUGAAUUAGGGCACACAGUGCACCCCGGAAAACGCAGUUCAAGUCGCCUCGGGCUUUUUUGUGCAUUGGUGUAAAACAAAAAAAUCCCUCUCCCCCGCUUAGUUUAUGUAAAAAUAACGUGCAAACUAAGCUGUAAGUGCCGGCUACUCCCCCUCACUGCCAACAUGAUUACCUUAAUGUACAGAAACUGCCCCUAUGCACGACGAUCAUUCCAGAAAAUUCCCGACUAUUCCAUGGGCGAUUUGGAGCCAACAGUUUAAGUUUAGUAGAA
rnacentral:lncRNA from 1 species